ensembl:snoRNA SNORA73 Small nucleolar RNA SNORA73 family
CCAACGUGGACAUCCUGUGAGGUUGCUCUCGCUUGGCUCUGUCCGUGUGGCAUAUGGGAGCGCAGCACUUUGGUGCCAUGACGUACAGUCCCGUUCCACGACGUUGGAGAACAAGCUAGUCCCCGGCCUUUGGGCUGGUGUGGAUGGCGUCCUGUAUAUUCCUACAUCUUCCCAGAGCUCUUAAGCUGUUACUGGGGAGGUAAACCAUGCAGUGCACAAGA